rnacentral:rRNA from 1 species
AACGAACGCUGGCGGCAGGCUUAACACAUGCAAGUCGAACGCCCCGCAAGGGGAGUGGCAGACGGGUGAGUAACGCGUGGGAACAUACCCUUUUCUACGGAAUAGCUCUGGGAAACUGGAAUUAAUACCGUAUACGCCCUACGGGGGAAAGUUUUAUCGGGGAAGGAUUGGCCCGCGUUGGAUUAGCUAGUUGGUGGCGUAAAGGCCUACCAAGGCGACGAUCCAUAGCUGGUCUGAGAGGAUGAUCAGCCACAUUGGGACUGAGACACAGCCCAAACUCCUACGGAAUGCAGCAGUGGGGAAUAUUGGACAAUGGGCGGAAGGCUGAUCCAGCCAUGCCUCGUGAGUGAUGAAGGCCUUAGGGUUGUAAAGCUCUUUCACCGAUGAAGAUAAUGACGGUAGUCGGAGAAGAAGCCCCGGCUAACUUCGUGCCAGCAGCCGCCGUAAGAC